AUCUAUUUUGAAUGAUAAAUACCAUUAGUUGCGUUGAUCUGGGCUUCGUUUCUCUUAUGUUCCUCAUGUAAAUAAUUAUGAAAUAAGAGAAAAGAUGGUUAUACCAUGAAUAUGAUGUCUAUUAAACAAAAAUGCCUUUUAAAAACAAUAUCUCAAAGUGAAAGUGAAAGUAAUUGAAUGUGGUGUAAACAAGAUGAAGAUAGUAAAAUGAAUGAAGCGAGUAUUUGUAUGAAACCACAAAAAAAAUCCAAAACAUACAUUCCAUACAUUAUCGUGGUUUUGUGCAAUAAACUAAUUUUAGGUAAAGUGACUGAGUUAUUUCUAUAUGCUAUAACAAAAAUUUACUAAAGGAUGAAAGUGAAGUCUGUUCUUUGGCACUGGAUGGGAAGAAAAGAUCCAAAGAAAAUGGAAUGAAAAAGUAAAUGAUAAUUUACAUAGAAGUUGAAUGGCACGAUUUUCUGUGAUAUGAUAUAAAUGUGGGAUUUUUCCUAACACUUUCAAUUGAUUUAUAAAUAAAGACAAGCUUGUUUCGGCAUCAGCUUAC